GACCGUGAGCGUGAAUAGAUGAACCCAUCCAUGUUGCUGCCCUGCUGUGUAGAUAGUUUCCUCUAGCAGAAAGUUUUAUCACUAGAAAAACAGAAUAAGAGACAGAAGACUGGGGCUGACUGUCUACAGAGAUCAUGCAAAGCAGCUUGUUUCCCUUGGAGUAUCUUAGUGCCUUAAUUCUAUCAUCAAGCUGUCACUAGGAUGAGUUCUGACCUGAUGUCCAAAGGCAGCCAUGCACUCAGGCACGUCCCAUUGAAGUCACCAACAUACCGUGCAUCUUCUGCCACUGUACCAGUGCACAUACCCUGCCCAUCUACCUGCUCUCACUGUUAAAUCUGACCAUCUAACAGUCUUCAUGUAUUGAUGUUUACUUUUUGUUCAUUAUUUGUCCAUACCAGAAUAAGCCUUCAUCCAGAAGAACCAAACAUUUACACAUCACACCUAUAUCCAAGAAGACAAUCACCAAGAAGACGGUCAUGCAUUUGUCUUUCAUUACAUCCUUUCAAUUAAUAAAAUUAAGGGAAAAGGGAACAUACAAUGUAACAUGAACACUACUGGGUUUCCUGCUGAUUUCAGCUAAACUCAAGCGGUUGAUUUAGAAAG
rnacentral:lncRNA from 1 species